CCUACGGGGUGCUGCAGUGAGGAAUAUUGGUCAAUGGACGCAAGUCUGAACCAGCCAUGCCGCGUGCAGGAUGACGGCUCUAUGAGUUGUAAACUGCUUUUGUACGAGGGUAAACCCCGAUACGUGUAUCGGGUUGAAAGUAUCGUACGAAUAAGGAUCGGCUAACUCCGUGCCAGCAGCCGCGGUAAUACGGAGGAUCCGAGCGGUAUCCGGCUUUAUUGGGUUUAAGGGGUGCGUAGGCGGUUUGAUAAGUUAGAGGUGAAAUGUUGGGGCUCAACCCCGAAACUGCCUCUAAUACUGUUGGACUAGAGAAUAGUUGCGGUAGGCGGAAUGCGUGGUGUAGCGGUGAAAUGCAUAGAUAUCACGCAGAACCCCGAUUGCGAAGGCAGCAUGCCGGCUUCCGACUGACGCUGAAGCACGAAAGCGUGGGGAUCGAACAGGAUUAGAUACCCGGGUAGUC
rnacentral:rRNA from 1 species